GGUGGCAUUUUAUUUUUUAGAGGAACUUGUUAUUUAAUCGAUAAUCCGCGUUAUUUAUUACUUUUACUCAUAGUUUAUAUACCGCCAUCUCAAGAAUUUAUUUUAAUAAUAAAAUUCAAAAUAAUAUUAUAAAAAGUUAGGUAAUGGUGUAAUCUAUGUAAAAGAUUAUAAUGAGUUACAUAUAAAUUAAAUUUUUGGAAAUCUAUACAAAUAUAUUUAUUAAACAGGAUUUAGAAGUAAUAUUAUAUAUUUAAUAAUACUCUUAUAUGAAACUAAUAAAU
rnacentral:rRNA from 1 species